UACGGAGGGUGCAAGCGUUGUCCGGAUUUAUUGGGUUUAAAGGGUGCGUAGGCGGCCCGUUAAGUCAGUGGUGAAAGCCUCCAGCUCAACUGGAGACUGCCAUUGAUACUGACGGGCUUGAGUACAGACGAGGUUGGCGGAAUUGAUUGUGUAGCGGUGAAAUGCAUAGAUACAAUCAAGAACACCGAUUGCGUAGGCAGCUAACUAGGCUGUAACUGACGCUGAGGCACGAAAAGCGUGGGGGAGCGAACGG
rnacentral:rRNA from 1 species